rnacentral:rRNA from 1 species
CAAUGCCCGAAAGGGUGACGAAGCGACGCCGCGUGGGUGAAGAAGGCCUUCGGGUUGUAAAACCCUGUCAGGAGUUAUGAAAUGUAGGUGCGCUAAUAUCGUGCUUAUUUGACAAAGGCUCCAAAGGAAGCCACGGCUAACUCUGUGCCAGCAGCCGCGGUAAUACAGAGGUGGCGAGCGUUGUUCGGAAUUAUUGGGCGUAAAGAGCACGUAGGUGGGUUUGCAAGUCAGAUGUGAAAGCCUUCUGUUCAACGGGAGAAUUGCAUCUGAAACUGCUAAUCUUGAGUAUAGGAGGGGAGAAUGGAACUUCUGGUGGAGCGGUGAAAUGCGUAGAUAUCAGAAGGAACGCCGGCGGCGAAAGCGAUUCUCUGGCCUAUUACUGACACUCAGUGUGCGAAAGCUAGGGGAGCAAACGGGAUUAGAUACCCCGGUAGUCCUAGCCGUAAACGAUGGGCACUAAGUAGAGGGG